AUGCAAUAAACUUCAACUGUAUGUGCGGCCUGGGAAGAUUGGACUGCAUGGAGAGAGCAGCAGGCUUGAUUCACAUCCUCUUCCACACCUCCACUGGAAAGAUGUUCCAUCUGAAGGACCUGAGGUCUCCUCCAUCCUACCAUGGUGACAACCUGCCUUGUCCUGAAGCCAAGAGUAUCUCUCAGAGCCCAAUGGAUGAAGCUUACCUGGGAGCUGGGACUAGGGGAGGUCAACAGAGGAUGGAAAGACUGAGGGUGUGUGGGGAAGUGGAAAUGGGCAGGGCUUCUUUGUGGGCUAAAUAGUAACUUGAAAA
ensembl:lncRNA